GCAGAGACUCAAUGGAAGCUGUUCUAACAAAUUGGGUUGACUAUCAUGCGUUGUAAUAUUUUAUAAGAUUUCUUCCAUAAAAAUUCCAAAAAGGAUUAAGAAGAAACUUAUAGGCCUAAGUACUUAACUAGAAACAUUAUAUUGGUGACGACCCUAAUAUUUUUUUAUUUUAGGAAUAUGAACAAAUAAAAUAAUUAGUAUGAUUAUAAAUCGAUUCUAAGUUAAAGAAAGAAUCGAAUAUUCAUUUUUAAACUGAAAGCAUUUACUCCAAAGUCUGAUAGAUCUUUUGAAUAAAUGGUCUGUCGGAUGAGAAUGAAGAUAGAGUCCCAUUCUACGUGUCAAUCUCGACAACAAUGAAAUUUAUAGUAAGAGGAAAAUCCGUCGACUUUAGAAAUCGUGAGGGUUCAAGUCCCUCUAUCCCCA
rnacentral:tRNA from 2 species